UCCCACCACACAACCACAUCAAUCCCCAUCACUUUCUUUCCAUGUGGCCUCCUCUUAUCAAGAUCACAAAUUGGCAUUAUUGGGUACCACUCAGCAUACCACUCAAAUUUCUCUUCUUGAUUUUCAUUUUCAGUCUUUUCAUCAAAUGGGGUUUCUGAUUCUGUUGAAACACUUGGGGAAGUAGCAGUAAAAACCUUGAAUUUUGCAUUUUG
rnacentral:misc_RNA from 1 species